AGUACAGCAAUGCCUGCAGCAACAACAGAGAGCUCAAGCCAACUACAGAAGGAGAGGACACCGUAUUUAAGAGCUUCUCUGCUUUCUCCUUUACUUCGAACUAUCCCUCUCCUAUCCAGCACCAAAACAGAAAGUUAUUAAGAGAGAAGAGGACAGUAAAUCCGUGGUGAAGGUAGCCAUCAAGCAGCAGAAGAAGGUUUGCCAGGCCAGCCUGAUGUCCCAGAAUGAAGACACUUCUUCUAACGUGAACAAGAGCCCGCCGAUGGGGGCACGAAAUACCGAAGCUAUGCCUGCUCCCGCGCCAGCCGUAAUGAAACUGCGCCUGCAACAGGAUUUGAGAUUAGAUCUGUCCAUCUUGACCUCUGGCCUUGACAAAACCCUCAAUCCUAUAACAUCGCGUGGGGACCACUGCACCACGCCAGCAAGCUGCUGAACUGGUGCCAACCAGCCUAACACCAGGCAGGCAUAUUACUUCACACCCUGGAAGCAGUGCAGUCACAGGGGUGAAAUACUGCAGGGAAAAAAGCAGGGAACUCACAAGGUACUGCACACCACAGUAAAAGCUGGGCGAGCUUUGCUUGGACGUCUCCAACUUCUUGCUCCAGUCAGUUGUACAUGCUAUGUGUCCCACCAGUAGUAUCAACAACGAAACUGGACCCCUUCUACACAUCUGUUACAGCUGCCCAAUGGAGGGAUGCCUUAAGAUCCUUCAACAUCCUAACACUUGCUGAGUUACUGGUCUGCCUGUGACAGUACUUGGAGAGGGUACAUCUCUUGAGCCUACUUAACUCCAAAAGACACCAGGGGAGUGGGAGUCUUUCAUCCCGGUCUUUGUAAAGAAGCAAGGUCUUGCUUAAACUGAAAUUUCUCUCUGCUGCUCACCAACACCCCUCUACGCAAAGGGGACUUCUGCACAACCUGUCUCUCCCAGGAUGGUUCCUGACUGCAAGCUAACGCUUCUUCCUAAUUAUACUAUAACCGGAUCCUGCAGAGAAAAACAAAAGUUCUCGCUGCUUCUCUUACCGCAAUUGCUGAUUUCUUCCAUGACUAACAUUAUGUUUAACCAGCAUGUGUCAGAUGUAUUUAAAUGACUGAUCUUAAAAGGCUAAAGGCAAAGGAGAUCCUGCAACUUCCCUUUGGUUCUUUUUGAUUUUCUUUAAGCUACAGAUAGUUCACAGUGGCUGUUCAUUUGAAUCCUUUGUAUUUCUUUAGGAAAUCAACACAAGUCUCUCUUUUUUCCUUGAUUUAGAAAAAAACCCAGUAUUGUGUAGGGUUUUGUAUGUCAAUAGGAAAAUAAAUACCAUCCAGAAGACAUAAACUGGUUUGUAAUUUCUUUUUCUGGAAACUAAUCUCAUUAAUUUCAGUAGAACUGUUCACAAGAGGGAGCUUACCAGAGUUAUCUCACAGACACGCACGAGUAGAGAAGAGCCAGAUUAAAAAAGUGUCACAAACAAUUUACUUUUUCAAAACUAGAAAAAUAAAGCAAGGGCCCCCUGUGCACAUUGUGCAAUCCCCAUCACCUCUUUUUUCCUGGGCCAGCAUCGUUAAUUUGAGGAUAAAGUCACGU